AGUGAACGCUGGCGGUAGGCCUAACACAUGCAAGUCGAACGGCAGCACAGUAAGAGCUUGCUCUUACGGGUGGCGAGUGGCGGACGGGUGAGGAAUACAUCGGAAUCUACUUUUUCGUGGGGGAUAACGUAGGGAAACUUACGCUAAUACCGCAUACGACCUACGGGUGAAAGCAGGGGAUCUUCGGACCUUGCGCGAUUGAAUGAGCCGAUGUCGGAUUAGCUAGUUGGCGGGGUAAAGGCCCACCAAGGCGACGAUCCGUAGCUGGUCUGAGAGGAUGUACAGCCACACUGGAGCUGAGCCACGGCCCAGGCCCCGAGGGGAGGCAGCAGUGGGGAAUAUUGGACAAUGGGCGCAAGCCUGAUCCAGCCAUGCCGCGUGGGUGAAGAAGGCCUUCGGGUUGUAAAGCCCUUUUGUUGGGAAAGAAAAGCAGCAGGUUAAUACCCCGCUGUUCUGACGGUACCCAAAGAAUAAGCACCGGCUAACUUCGU
rnacentral:rRNA from 1 species